ensembl:lncRNA
GAGAGUCCCCUCCUGGAUCAGCAGGCAAAGACGCAAACAUGGAGGGUAAGAGAACAGAGCUCACUGGGUGUCAGCUGUCCAAAUAUGGAGCAGAAUGAGACGAGGGGAUGGCAGAGGAGAGACUACAGCCCUUUCAGACAGGUCCACCCUCGCAGGACUACUAAAGGCAUGCUUUUCAGGCAGCCUUUUGUUUCAGGGACCCACAAUGGCACCCCAGAGCCCUCUUAGCCCCAUACCUGCCCUCCAGUUUGUACCUGAGUCCCUGUGGCCUCCCCUGUCAGUCACAUCUCUGCCCUGGGCCCUCCGACCUGUCCUAUGAAGGCUGACUUCACAGAGUCUGGAUGACCUCACUGUCUGACACCAAUAGGUGGCAGAUCAACCACUACAGAGAUAUCUGUCCAGAGGUGUGGACAUGUUUGGAAAAGGGGGUCUGGUCCAAGUGCUGGAAAAGAGAUUCUGGCUGGAAGAAAGAAUUAUGUUCUAAAAAGAAUGGCAAAGAACUUUGUUCUCAGAGAUGUCAUACCUAGCCUCGGCAGCCUGAAGACAGCUGUUUUCUGUUAGUCUACAGAAGCAUAUGGCUUUCCACGCUCUGUUUAUUCUUCCCUGGGUUAAAUUGCUAUGGCAUCGUCUCACUUCUCCUAAUGGGCCGUGUCCAGCAUCUGCACGGUUACAAAUGGGCAUGCUCAUUUGUGGAUUUAUGGAGCUUGAAUAACGUCAGGACUGUGUCAGACCUGCUGCCCCACGCAGGACGGAGAGAAGCAGGGCCAUUGCUGGCGCACAAAUUCGAUGAAUUCACAGAGCAAGGGAAAUUAGUGAAGCCGGUCCAGCGUCUCCUCUGCAUUCCUGUGUGCUUUCCCCCGCCUGUCCACCAUGAGGCAGCCUUCAAACAAGAGGAAAUAAAGACACCAAGUUCCUCUGAGCCAUUUUAUGGCACCCAUCAGAAGACCAACAGGGAAGAAGAAAAUGCCACUCAAACCUGGCCUUUGUGGCGCUUUGAAUGAGCGUGUUCAACAAGGCAGUAAGUGGGCUGCUUCGGAGUUUUUACCCGGGCGAGAUAAGGUGACACAAGAGAAAUUCCUUCCGUGUUUCUAUGGAUGCCCAGCAACCCAGGAUCCAGGGCUGCUUUUGAAAGCCGGGGCAAAGUAAUAUCCUCCACUAGAAAGGAUGUUCUUAUCUGAUUGGGCCUGCAAGAUGGGGAGGUUUCCUCUCUCUCCUGCCACGAGAAGGAGGAGGCUGUGCAGUCAGUGCUGGGGCCUGAGUGAGAGAAGUGGAUGAGGUGGAAAAGGCUGUUUGCAAGGAGGAAAAGGAGCCCAGAACUGCCAACAUUCUGCAUGCUGGACCUUGCCUGCUCGAAAUCUUGGGGGGCUAGGAUGACCUUGGCAUCCCGGCAGGGUUACCAAGAGUUCCUUCCUACAGCACAGUUACCCCAGGAGUCUGCGUUCUCCUCCUGAUGCUGACCUCAGCACAGUGUCGAUCAGCCUUUACCGUCUCCACCACAAGUAAACCCCAGGGCUCUAUCAGCCACCUGUCUACAACCUUCACACUUAAGAAAUGCAAAUAUUUAACCAGGAGAUAAGGGCACUGGUUUGUUCGGCAUAUUAGUGUAGUUUUGUCUUUUUAAGGAAGUUAUGAUUUUCAAGACCACACAUCUCUAACUGUAUCAGCCACCUAAUGCACUGAUAAAAUCUGAUGCUGUAGGGUAUGAAGCGACAGAGUUAGAGAUAAACACUUUGAUUUCUAACCCACUUCCCUCUUUGCACAAUCGUUUCCCUCCUACACGGCCCUCCGUUAUGCCAAAUAUUAAAUGGGUCAUUCCCAUCUGUGUUAUUCAGCACAGAUUGAAAUCUCCACCACCACUGCCUUCAUACUGAAAGUCUGAGAAGCCGAGACUAACCUCAUUUCAAGG